CUAACUUUCUCUUUGUAGGCUAUUUCUGCAUGUGUGUUCCUCUUGUUUGUAGCUGACAUGUUGCAUUUGCUGUGCUCAGAAGCUCAAAACUAUUCCAAAAUGCAAAGAAGAUGAUGAUAUUACCUCUGUUUUAAAUGUGCUUUUAGGUACUCCAGAAGGAGUUACCUGUAAACAUCUCUCCAAGUUCUCAAAAUUUAUCAGCUCACCAUGGAGGAAGAAAAGUUAACGCUCAUGGUUUUUAAGUCAACUGGAAGAAGAUUGCCAGGGGAAGGGGAACGGAGUGCUGCUUCAUGACUUCUGAGCAUUGGGAACCAGCAGUACAGAACAUUCAGG
ensembl:lncRNA